AAAAAGGAUGGUAUUACUGCAAGGGAGUUGGAAAGCAAUGAACUUAUAGUUGCAGAAGAGAUCAUGAGAAUAUUUUUAUGCACUUUUGCAUCCAUAUCAACUCUAUUUUUUUGUUGGAUUACACUCUUUUUUUAUAUUGUUGAGAAAAUGGCAAUUAUUUCAUAAGACAAGAUCUAGAUGCCCUCUUAUGGUGCUUUUCUAAUUCCUGUUUGACUAAUAAUUUGUAUGUGCAUCCUACUUAGAGUGUGUCCUGUGCAAUGGAUUUUUAGGCUGCCACUUGGCUUGCAAGUGUUUCAAAGCCAAACCUACUGAAAAUGUUGCUUUUCAAUUGGGCGCCAAAUAUUUUGUUCAUCUGUCAAUCUAACAGUGUUCUCCUCUAUGGGAUGGGGAAACCCACUUCUGAUAUGAUUUUCUUUUAAGGACUCUAGAGUCUGUGUAUUCUGUAAUUGUUUACCCCGUCGGAUUGAAGACAAUUGGAUCUGAACUGUGCUUCUUGGGCUAAGGACAGUAGAAACAAACCAACUUUAUGAGAAUGU
rnacentral:misc_RNA from 1 species